AUUGAACGCUGGCGGCAGGCCUAACACAUGCAAGUCGAACGGUAACAGGAAGACGCUUGCUUCUUUGCUGACGAGUGGCGGACGGGUGAGUAAUGUCUGGGAAACUGCCUGAUGGAGGGGGAUAACUACUGGAAACGGUAGCUAAUACCGCAUAACGUCGCAAGACCAAAGAGGGGGACCUUCGGGCCUCUUGCCAUCGGAUGUGCCCAGAUGGGAUUAGCUAGUAGGUGGGGUAACGGCUCACCUAGGCGACGAUCCCUAGCUGGUCUGAGAGGAUGACCAGCCACACUGGAACUGAGACACGGUCCAGACUCCUACGGGAGGCAGCAGUGGGGAAUAUUGCACAAUGGGCGCAAGCCUGAUGCAGCCAUGCCGCGUGUAUGAAGAAGGCCUUCGGGUUGUAAAGUACUUUCAGCGGGGAGGAAGGGAGUAAAGUUAAUACCUUUGCUCAUUGACGUUACCCGAAGAAGAAGCACCGGCUAACUCCGUG
rnacentral:rRNA from 1 species